rnacentral:tRNA from 1 species
GUAAACUAGAGAUGGAACUCAUAAUCCCCAGGACA